UACGAAGGGGGCUAGCGUUGUUCGGAAUUACUGGGCGUAAAGCGCGCGCAGGUGGUCUUUCAAGUCAGUGGUGAAAGCCCGGAGCUCAACUCCGGAAAUGCCAUUGAAACUGUAAGACUUGAGGAUGAGAGAGGUGAGUGGAAUUCCCAGUGUAGAGGUGAAAUUCGUAGAUAUUGGGAAGAACACCGGUGGCGAAGGCGGCUCACUGGCUCGUAACUGACGCUCAGGCGCGACAGCGUGGGGAUCAAACAGG
rnacentral:rRNA from 1 species